ensembl:lncRNA
AUUUUAUUAAAGGAGUGAGGUAGGCCUACAUAAAAAGGAAAAGAAACUGAAAUUUUUAAAAGCAGCUUCACAAACACAGAUAAAAAAGUAACCCAAUAUUGGGACCAGAAAAAGGUAAACAAGGAAUGUUCCCAACGUAUCAGGGAGUAUCCUCGUCACUUCCAGAAUGCUUUCACCGAAAAGGCCGGCUCAGAAGGCUGGCUCCGUUCCCGCGGUCCUCUUCUGCUUUCAGUUAGACUCCGAGGAAUCCCACAUCGCUCCGUUCCACAUCCAAACUAUUUGUUCACGGCCGAUGAUUUCGUCAUUCUUUUGUAUGAUUGUGUGUGUUUGUGAAUAGAAGUGUAUAAUAUAGGGCCUAGCAGUGUUUCGAAGAGAAAAUAACACAAACCGUUUAAAAAAAGUUUUAUUUAUUUUACAAGAAUUCUACAUUUUCAAAAUUGAAUUUCAAACUAAAGCCUUUCCACUUUAAUGAUGUGACCAGAUCUGCUGACUGAACGAAGUCUGUUUUUAUACAAUCUGAUGUGAAUGGCUGGUGGUCAACCAAGGCUCCUCUUAUUCUCAUUUCCAUGACAACACAAUCACAAUAUGUGAUAUGAAAUAUGGACACAACGACCACAGUCACAUAGCGUGACAGAAAAAUAAAUGCUAGUAUGUGGAAUUGACUCUGUUUUAGAGGGAGUGAGGAAGACAGGGAGAGGAACCGCAGGCUCCACAGUCCAUAUUGUAGCAGGACUCUCCCAUGUCCCCACGGGGGGGGGGGGGUCAAAGUGAAGCCAACAGAGACAUCGAACUCAACACCUCACCCAUCUGGUUUUCUAUUUUAUACAAAAUGUUGAGGUUAUGCAAACUGUUAAAGUGGUCAACUGCCUCUUAAGUCUCGAUGAGGCUGUGAACCUUGCAGGGAAUACACAUGCUGAACACACACACACAAUAGGCCCCAAAGAUAUCCCUUGUGGGGACGUAAACGUCCUUAGGGACAAAUUCAAACACACACGAGUGUGCACAUAUGUACACAUAUGUAUGAAAGCCUCAAAAACAGGAUUAAAACAGUCAACGCAGUGAGGCAACCACACAAUCCCCCCCAUCCCCCUACCCCCCCUCCAUUAAAAGUGUUUUUCCUGGAAAAUCUCUACUAAUGUUUUCCAACCCCCCCAUCUUUGUGUCUUAUUCCCUCUCUUUUCCCUCCUUUCUUCUCCCCAUUCUUUCUGUCUGUCUCCUUCGCUCUCUCCCUCUGCUGUUAACUUUCCCUCCCUCCCUCACAGUCUAGCUCUCUCUCUCUCUCUCGCCCUCUCUCCAUGUUGUCUUCAUUAAAGCAGACGUGCAUGCAAACCUGGAAACAUCAGGCAGUGUGUGUGUGUGUGUGUGUGUGUGUGUGUGUGUGUGUGUGUGUGUGUGUGUGUGUGUGUGGGCCAGUCGGCUUCUAAACCACAUUCUUCAGAUUCCCUGUAAACGUAUGACAGACAGAGAGAGACAGAGAGAG